GGGUUGUGAGGUUAAGCGACUAAGCGUACACGGUGGAUGCCCUGGCAGUCAGAGGCGAUGAAGGACGUGCUAAUCUGCGAAAAGCGUCGGUAAGGUGAUAUGAACCGUUACAGCCGGCGAUGUCCGAAUGGGGAAACCCAGUGUGAUUCGUCACACUAUCGUUAACUGAAUACAUAGGUUAACGAGGCGAACCGGGGGAACUGAAACAUCUAAGUACCCCGAGGAAAAGAAAUCAACCGAGAUUCCCCCAGUAGCGGCGAGCGAACGGGGAGCAGCCCAGAGUCUGAAUCAGCUUGUGUGUUAGUGGAACGGUCUGGAAAGUCCGACGGUACAGGGUGAUAGUCCCGUACACCAAAAUGCACAGGCUGUGAACUCGAAGAGUAGGGCGGGACACGUGGUAUCCUGUCUGAAUAUGGGGGGACCAUCCUCCAAGGCUAAAUACUCCUGACUGACCGAUAGUGAACCAGUACCGUGAGGGAAAGGCGAAAAGAACCCCGGCGAGGGGAGUGAAAAAGAACCUGAAACCGUGUACGUACAAGCAGUGGGAGCACCUUCGGGUGUGACUGCGUACCUUUUGUAUAAUGGGUCAGCGACUUAUAUUCUGUAGCAAGGUUAACCGUAUAGGGGAGCCGCAGGGAAACCGAGUCUUAACUGGGCGUUAAGUUGCAGGGUAUAGACCCGAAACCCGGUGAUCUAGCCAUGGGCAGGUUGAAGGUUGGGUAACACUAACUGGAGGACCGAACCGACUAAUGUUGAAAAAUUAGCGGAUGACUUGUGGCUGGGGGUGAAAGGCCAAUCAAACCGGGAGAUAGCUGGUUCUCCCCGAAAGCUAUUUAGGUAGCGCCUCGUGAACUCAUCUUCGGGGGUAGAGCACUGUUUCGGCUAGGGGGUCAUCCCGACUUACCAACCCGAUGCAAACUACGAAUACCGAAGAAUGUUAUCACGGGAGACACACGGCGGGUGCUAACGUCCGUCGUGAAGAGGGAAACAACCCAGACCGCCAGCUAAGGUCCCAAAGUCAUGGUUAAGUGGGAAACGAUGUGGGAAGGCACAGACAGCCAGGAUGUUGGCUUAGAAGCAGCCAUCAUUUAAAGAAAGCGUAAUAGCUCACUGGUCGAGUCGGCCUGCGCGGAAGAUGUAACGGGGCUAAACCAUGCACCGAAGCUGCGGCAGCGACACUAUGUGUUGUUGGGUAGGGGAGCGUUCUGUAAGCCUGCGAAGGUGUGCUGUGAGGCAUGCUGGAGGUAUCAGAAGUGCGAAUGCUGACAUAAGUAACGAUAAAGCGGGUGAAAAGCCCGCUCGCCGGAAGACCAAGGGUUCCUGUCCAACGUUAAUCGGGGCAGGGUGAGUCGACCCCUAAGGCGAGGCCGAAAGGCGUAGUCGAUGGGAAACAGGUUAAUAUUCCUGUACUUGGUGUUACUGCGAAGGGGGGACGGAGAAGGCUAUGUUAGCCGGGCGACGGUUGUCCCGGUUUAAGCAUGUAGGCUGAUUGUCCAGGCAAAUCCGGAUAAUCAAGGCUGAGGUGUGAUGACGAGGCACUACGGUGCUGAAGUAACAAAUGCCCUGCUUCCAGGAAAAGCCUCUAAGCAUCAGGUAACAUCAAAUCGUACCCCAAACCGACACAGGUGGUCAGGUAGAGAAUACCAAGGCGCUUGAGAGAACUCGGGUGAAGGAACUAGGCAAAAUGGUGCCGUAACUUCGGGAGAAGGCACGCUGGUGUGUAGGUGAAGUCCCUGCGGAUGGAGCUGAGACCAGUCGAAGAUACCAGCUGGCUGCAACUGUUUAUUAAAAACACAGCACUGUGCAAACACGAAAGUGGACGUAUACGGUGUGACGCCUGCCCGGUGCCGGAAGGUUAAUUGAUGGGGUUAUCCGUAAGGAGAAGCUCUUGAUCGAAGCCCCGGUAAACGGCGGCCGUAACUAUAACGGUCCUAAGGUAGCGAAAUUCCUUGUCGGGUAAGUUCCGACCUGCACGAAUGGCGUAAUGAUGGCCAGGCUGUCUCCACCCGAGACUCAGUGAAAUUGAACUCGCUGUGAAGAUGCAGUGUACCCGCGGCAAGACGGAAAGACCCCGUGAACCUUUACUAUAGCUUGACACUGAACAUUGAGCCUUGAUGUGUAGGAUAGGUGGGAGGCUUUGAAGCGUGGACGCCAGUCUGCGUGGAGCCAACCUUGAAAUACCACCCUUUAAUGUUUGAUGUUCUAACGUUGGCCCCUGACCGGGGUUGCGGACAGUGUCUGGUGGGUAGUUUGACUGGGGCGGUCUCCUCCCAAAGCGUAACGGAGGAGCACGAAGGUUAGCUAAUCCUGGUCGGACAUCAGGAGGUUAGUGCAAUGGCAUAAGCUAGCUUGACUGCGAGCGUGACGGCGCGAGCAGGUGCGAAAGCAGGUCAUAGUGAUCCGGUGGUUCUGAAUGGAAGGGCCAUCGCUCAACGGAUAAAAGGUACUCCGGGGAUAACAGGCUGAUACCGCCCAAGAGUUCAUAUCGACGGCGGUGUUUGGCACCUCGAUGUCGGCUCAUCACAUCCUGGGGCUGAAGUAGGUCCCAAGGGUAUGGCUGUUCGCCAUUUAAAGUGGUACGCGAGCUGGGUUUAGAACGUCGUGAGACAGUUCGGUCCCUAUCUGCCGUGGGCGCUGGAGAAUUGAGGGGGGCUGCUCCUAGUACGAGAGGACCGGAGUGGACGCAUCACUGGUGUUCGGGUUGUCAUGCCAAUGGCACUGCCCGGUAGCUAAAUGCGGAAGAGAUAAGUGCUGAAAGCAUCUAAGCACGAAACUUGCCCCGAGAUGAGUUCUCCCUGAGACU
rnacentral:rRNA from 1 species